UCUCUUUUGUUCGAAUUUAGACCUUUUUGGAUAAUUUGUCUUGGAUGGUUUUGUCUUAUCAUUAUUGUUUGAUUGAUAAUUUCAGGCCAUGGUCUUCUUAUCAAUAUGUGGAUGUUAUAAAAAUAUAUUGGGAUUGUUGUCACUCUGAAUUUUACUGCAAGCGGCGCCAUGGCGGAGAAGGUGAUCUUUGCUGGGCACUCGGGAGAGCCAGAGGCUUCUCAUAACGCCAAGAGUGAGACUUGGGAGAGAAGUUAUCUGCUGACCUGCACAGCAACAAGCUUGUGGCAUGCUACAAAAAUGUUCUUUUCACAACUUUGGCUAGGGUAUGCAAGGUCAAGACGACAAAUACUUGAUGUUCCAUGGCGCUCAUUGUGUGCACACAUGCAUUAAUUGAUAUAAGAGGAAGGUGCCGAGGGACAACUAUUGUAGGUUGGACGUGAAUGUCUCCUGGGAUAGCUGAAUGAGAAGGAUGGACAAAUUGUCGCGUGCAGGAGAUAUUACUACCAACUGAGCUUUCUGAUGGUUUGGAUAUAUCAUAGUGAAGGAACUUGAAGAUUCUCAUGCAUCCUUAUGUAUGGAAGAGGACCUUAUGUAUGAAAGAGCAGUGUGUUUUGAUCUAAACCUAUACUAUUACUGUUUGUAAUUUCGUGUGCUUUAUCUGAAUUUUGUACUGUCAAUUUUAUUUUGCAAAACCUCAAAAUAUAUUAUCAUUAUAUCACCUAAUUUUAGCGUUAUUA